GCUUAAUUUUGAAUUUUGUUUCGAUUUAGUUGUCUAUGUCAGUUAACAACAAUCGAAUCUGAUGAAUUGACCAAAAAUGCAAAGAAUUUGCAGAAUUUUAUCAUGAAGACAUUAAUGUAGAUGUGCCCAAAACAGAAUGUAUUCAUUUAAGCCAAUAUUUAAAAAACAUAGCAAAGCAAUCAGCGGAUUUAAAUAUCUCAACCUUACAUAACCUAAAAAUUUCAAAUAAAUUGGAAGAAACUUUUCCAAACGUAGAAAUUGCUACAAGAAUAUUCCUUUGCCUAAUGGUUACCGAUUGUAGUGGAGAGCGGUCAUUUUCGCACCUCAAGAGAAUAA